AUUUUUACCAACUUGGAAUAGGAACCAGGCAACCUACAAGUGUUAGCAAGAAAAACAUUUGCUGACCCCUGAUCUAGAAGGUAAGCUCUACAAGAGCAAGAACAGCACCUUUUCAGCUUGUUGUCACUGGCAGCCUGGCACACGGCCUAGCUCAUUGCAGGAAAAAACAAGUCUCAUGGAGAAACAGAUUAAACAGAUACAAGUAAGAUGAAAGGCUAAUGUGCUGUUCUCGUGUUAUAAUUCCAAUUGCUCAUGUUUUCAACUGAGAAAAAAAUUCACCUGCCUGGAUCUGGAACAAAUUCCGGAACAAGGUUCUGAUGAAAUGAGGAGUUUCUAGAGAUAACGUCAACCCCUCUUCCUGGUCCAGAGAGGGAGACAACUUUACAGAUGGAGAGUUCCUUUACAAUGUAAAUGUCUCUUACAAAGGGAGAUGACUCAUCCCUUUGAUCCCCAACCAUCGACACUGUCUGCUCCUGACAUCCAACCAUUGACAUCGUCAUGGCCUGAUGAUCCUCCCUCUAAUGUAUCAUCAGAAGGUUAAUAGUAGCCUAAUGCUUAUAUCAUUCACCUCACUCCAUCUCAUCAAGUAGGCAUUUUAUCAUCUCACAUCAUCACAAGAAGAAGGACAUCAGAGUUUUCAAGGCCUGUUCAUUCUCUUAAGAAGCAAGGCUGCAAACAGGUGCUUAGAAAAGAAGAAGGUGUGCAGAACAGUCUUUAGACAGGUCAGCAUUAUCCAUCACCUCCAUCAUAAGACGAAGGGAAGCCUCAAUCCAGAAACCAAGUUGCAUUUCAAAAGCUUUUUUGAAGGUCAUGCACAGGGGAGACUAGGAGCAAGUACUAGAAGGACCCAGUGGGGAUGCUCUUACUGCUGUCUUGGCAGUACUUGUGCUGCAAAUAAACAAACUUCAGUCCUGAAGACUCUCCAGUGUGUAACUUUGAAGGCAUGAAAUUCACACACACAGAAUGAACUGCAGUAUUUUUGGAGUACUGUCAAAGCUGGCUCUACUGCAAUCCUAAGGGCUAUAUUCAAGGUCAUGUGACUGUUUACUGCUUCAAUAAAAAGCAACUUAUAAAUGCAAAAUGCAAUUCACUAUUUAUUCAUCUCAUGUAUUCAUGCAACACUCGUUGGCUUACUGUGCUGUUUGCUUGAUAUGUAUUCCACAGCACACCUUUUGUUUCUGCAAAACUGCACAUUAUAUCAUUUUUGCAUCUGACACUGACUUUGUUCUAGGGGAAGUCUUCUAAUAAGAAAGGGGAAAUGAAAAUGCUACAAUGAGGUUAUCCAACCCUUGCAGAUUUGCUUAACUUGCUGAAAAGGCAGGAAGAUUUUAGAGGGCACACUGACCUUGAAUAGUGAGAAAACC
rnacentral:lncRNA from 1 species